AUAGGAAGAGAGAGGCAAGAGCGUCCGCUAUGUGAGCUGGUCAGCAGCAGGGACUGGGGACUUCCUCUGUCCCCGGACAUCUCCUUCUUCCUCUCUUCUUUCCCUGCACUCCCCCAUAUCUCUUUCUUUUUUUGUGACACUCACGCAUGCUAAGGGAGCAACCAUCACUGAGUGACAUCCAUGAGUGUGACACUCAUGCAUGCUAAGGGAGCACACCAUCACUGAGUGACAUCUCAGUCCCCACACCGCUUACUUCUUCCUCACCUCACAAAACUCUCCAACAGGUCCAUGUUUUUGCGGUCACUCACAAACUCUCCAAUCAUUUUUUUGUCUAACCGAGGGUUUUCUCGGAGCCAUUGGGCUACCUCCGUGUUAUCCAUUGGGAUGGUGAGGAGGCCUUUCUCCUGCAGAAAUUGGAUCCCCUUCUUUGGUUUUUGGUUGAACUGCUCUGUACCAGUGAUCAGCAGCUAGAAGACAAAAACUAGAGUUCCCGUGGAUCUGGCAGAAGACAGGAAAAUCGAGGUGGCUUCCUGGUGAACUUUUUGUCAGCUAGGAUGGAAGGAAGAGGAUAAACACACAAGACCUUUGUACAGUUACUGAUGCUCUCCCCAGCAAAACCAAUGAUGAUCUCCAUGAGCUUUUUGAUGUACAUCUGUCAACAGCAAUCCAGCGACAGCCAUUUGGUUGAGGAAAGACGGCAACAGAAAAUUGGAUAGGAACAACACCAAACAGGAGGCAAAAGCCCACUCAGGAGGCAUGUAUUGGGAGAUACCGAAAGAGCCCCUUCUCAGUAAUAUAUUCCCUGCUUUGUCUCCCAUAAGGCUCUCAUUCCUAUUUCCAGUCUCAAAGAAGUUGUCUACUGUCCUUUUAAAAAUGUGUUGUCUAUAAAGCC
ensembl:processed_transcript Gm16726 predicted gene, 16726